GACAGAGGUUGCAAACGUUGUUCGGAAUUACUGGGCAUAAAGCGCACGUAGGCGGUCCGUUAAGUCAUGUGUGAAAUCCCCCGACUCAACCGGGGAAUUGCGCCUGAUACUGGCGGGCUAGAGGUCGAUAGGGGUGAGCGGAACUCCAGGUGGAGCGGUGAAAUGCGUAGAUAUCAUUUGGAACGCCAAUGGUGAAAACAGGUAGCUGGGAGUGUGCUGACGCUGAGACACGAAAGCCAGGGGAGCGAACGGG
rnacentral:rRNA from 1 species